AUAAUCAGACAUAUUCCAAAGAAAAAAAAAGUCAAACAAAUUGAAAAGGAAAACGAAAGUUCUCCUUCUUCAAACAUCCUACCGCCGAAUCUCAUCCUGAACCGUGUUGUCGACUCAUCUCUCCAGUUGAUUCUUUCAGUGUUCACAGUUGUUGAUGAUGAUGCCUUCUGCUCAUGCGACUCUCCCCCUUCCUGCAUCGUAACCACCCAGUCUAAUCACGUUCGUCGCGCCGCUUUCGAGUCCAUCGACAUCACCGUCUUUCUUCCAACGACGACAUAUUCUAUUUCAUCUCUUUUACUCUUUAUUACAUUUGCAUUUUCAUUUUCUCAUUUUUUAAUUAUUUCUCUCUAG
rnacentral:lncRNA from 1 species